GGCCUGGUGGUCUAGUAGUAUGAUUCCUUCUUAGGGUUUGAUCCCGACUGCUUGUUCACCCCAGCAGAAGGGCGUCGAAGCGCCUACCUGGAGGAGGUCCCGGGUUCAAUUCCCGGCUAGGCCC